GAUACGCCGGCGUGGAGCCGUGGAGCUUGCUUGAGCUCGAAACCCUAAGCUAGAGGAAUGGGGUAGGCAAGCCCCGAAACAACGCAAAACGAAGCGAAGGGGUGUGGCAAGGGGAAGAAGCGAAACGGGCAAGCAACGGCACGUCUCCUGUAAUCCCGAUCUCAGGGAACGGAUCAGCCAUGCAUGGCAUGAGCCGCGGAGGCAGCAAGGGGGGCGGCUCCCGCUGCCACGAGACAGUUGGGCAUGCCAAAUCGGUGAAAUCCAGGCGAAGGGAGAGGUGACGGCGGGAUGAGCCAGGCGGCGAGCGGUGGCACGAGAGAAUCAACCCCAGAUUUGGAUUUGACGAGGGAGGACGGGCCGGCGGCCGGCGGGGUGGGUGUUCUUGUAGAGAGAGAGAGUGGGAUGGUGGGG
rnacentral:lncRNA from 1 species